UACUGGUCAGUAACCCUGAGCCUCAACCACUGAGCCACCACUGCCCCACAAUGUAAUAACAAUUGAUCCUAAAUGCAAUAAAGCCCCUUAAUGUAAUAACAUUUGGUCCUAAAUGUAAAAAGGUCAUAAAUGUAAUAACAUUUGAUCCUAAAUACAAUAAAGCCCCUUAAUGUAAUAACAUUUGGUCCUAAAUGUAAUAAAGCCUGUUAAUGUAAAAACAUUUGGUCCUAAAUGCAAUAAAGCCCCUUAAUGUAAAAACAUUUGGUCCUAAAUGUAAUAAAGCCUGUUAAUGUAAAAACAUUUGGUCCUAAAUGUAAUAAAGCCUGUUAAUGUAAAAACAUUUGGUCCUAAAUGCAAUAAAGCCCCUUAAUGUAAAAACAUUUGGUCCUAAAUGUAAAAAGGUCAUAAAUGUAAUAACAUUUGGUUUUAAAUGUAAUAAAGCCCCUUAAUAUAAAACAUUUGGUCCUAAAUGUAAAAAAGACCCUUAAUGUAAUAACAUUUGGUCCUAAAUGUAAUAAAGCUGUUAAUGUAAAAACAUUUGGUCCUAAAUGUAAAAAGGUCAUAAAUGUAAUAACAUUUGGUUUUAAAUGUAAUAAAGCCCCUUAAUAUAAAACAUUUGGUCCUAAAUGCAAUAAAGCCCCUUAAUGUAAUAACAUUUGGUCCUAAAUGUAAAAAGGUCAUAAAUGUAAUAAAAUUUGAUCCUAAAUACAAUAAAGCCCCUUAAUGUAAUAACAUUUGGUCCUAAAUGUAAUAAAGCCUGUUAAUGUAAAAACAUUUGGUCCUAAAUGCAAUAAAGCCCCUUAAUGUAAAAACAUUUGGUCCUAAAUGUAAUAAAGCCUGUUAAUGUAAAAACAUUUGGUCCUAAAUGUAAUAAAGCCUGUUAAUGUAAAAACAUUUGGUCCUAAAUGCAAUAAAGCCCCUUAAUGUAAAAACAUUUGGUCCUAAAUGUAAAAAGGUCAUAAAUGUAAUAACAUUUGGUUUUAAAUGUAAUAAAGCCCCUUAAUAUAAAACAUUUGGUCCUAAAUGUAAAAAAGACCCUUAAUGUAAUAACAUUUGGUCCUAAAUGCAAUAAAGCCCCUUAAUGUAAUAACAUUUGGUCCUAAAUGUAAUAAAGCCUGUUAAUGUAAAAACAUUUGGUCCUAAAUGUAAAAAGGUCAUAAAUGUAAUAACAUUUGGUUUUAAAUGUAAUAAAGCCCCUUAAUAUAAAACAUUUGGUCCUAAAUGUAAAAAAGACCCUUAAUGUAAUAACAUUUGGUCCUAAAUGCAAUAAAGCCCCUUAAUGUAAUAACAUUUGGUCCUAAAUGUAAUAAAGCCUGUUAAUGUAAAAACAUUUGGUCCUAAAUGUAAAAAGGUCAUAAAUGUAAUAACAUUUGGUUUUAAAUGUAAUAAAGCCCCUUAAUAUAAAACAUUUGGUCCUAAAUGCAAUAAAGCCCCUUAAUGUAAUAACAUUUGGUCCUAAAUGUAAAAAGGUCAUAAAUGUAAUAAAAUUUGAUCCUAAAUACAAUAAAGCCCCUUAAUGUAAUAACAUUUGAUCAUAAAUACAAUAAAGCCUACUAAUGUAACAUUUGGUUUUAAAUGUAAUAAAGCCCCUUAAUAUAAAACAUUUGGUCCUAAAUAUAAAAAAGCCCCUUAAUGUAAUAACCUUUGGUCCUAAAUACAAUAAGGUCAUAAAUGUAAUAACAUUUGAUCCUAAAUACAAUAAAGCCCCUUAAUGUAAUAACAUUUGGUCCUAAAUGUAGUAAAGCCUACUAAUGUAAUAACAUUUAUAUUUAUGCAUUUGGCAGACGCUUUUAUCCAAAGCGACUUACAGUGCACUUAUUACAGGGACAAUCCCCUGGAGCAACCUGGAGUUAAGUGCCUUGCUCAAGGGCCCAACAGUGGCAUCUUUGUGGUGCUGGGGCUUGAACCCCCGACCUACUGGUCAGUAACCCUGAGCCUCAACCACUGAGCCACCACUGCCCCACAAUGUAAUAACAAUUGAUCCUAAAUGCAAUAAAGCCCCUUAAUGUAAUAACAUUUGGUCCUAAAUGUAAAAAGGUCAUAAAUGUAAUAACAUUUGAUCCUAAAUACAAUAAAGCCCCUUAAUGUAAUAACAUUUGGUCCUAAAUGUAAUAAAGCCUGUUAAUGUAAAAACAUUUGGUCCUAAAUGCAAUAAAGCCCCUUAAUGUAAAAACAUUUGGUCCUAAAUGUAAUAAAGCCUGUUAAUGUAAAAACAUUUGGUCCUAAAUGUAAUAAAGCCUGUUAAUGUAAAAACAUUUGGUCCUAAAUGCAAUAAAGCCCCUUAAUGUAAAAACAUUUGGUCCUAAAUGUAAAAAGGUCAUAAAUGUAAUAACAUUUGGUUUUAAAUGUAAUAAAGCCCCUUAAUAUAAAACAUUUGGUCCUAAAUGUAAAAAAGACCCUUAAUGUAAUAACAUUUGGUCCUAAAUGUAAUAAAGCUGUUAAUGUAAAAACAUUUGGUCCUAAAUGUAAAAAGGUCAUAAAUGUAAUAACAUUUGGUUUUAAAUGUAAUAAAGCCCCUUAAUAUAAAACAUUUGGUCCUAAAUGCAAUAAAGCCCCUUAAUGUAAUAACAUUUGGUCCUAAAUGUAAAAAGGUCAUAAAUGUAAUAAAAUUUGAUCCUAAAUACAAUAAAGCCCCUAAUGUAAUAACAUUUACAUUUAUGCAUUUGGCAGACGCUUUUAUCCAAAUGGACUUACAGUGCACUUAUUACAGGGACAAUCCCCCCGGAGCAACCUGGAGUUAAGUGCCUUGCUCAAGGGCCCAACAGUGGCAUCUUUGUGGUGCUGGGGCUUGAACCCCCGACCUACUGGUCAGUAACCCUGAGCCUCAACCACUGAGCCACCACUGCCCCACAUUUGAUCCUAAAUGCAAUAAAGCCCCUUAAUGUAAUUGGUCCUAAAUGUAAUAAAGCCCCUUAAUGUAAUAACAAUUGAUCCUAAAUGCAAUAAAGCCCCUUAAUGUAAUUGGUCCUAAAUGUAAUAAAGCCCCUAAAUGCAAUAAAGCCCUUAAUGUAAAACAUUCGGUCCUAAAUGCAAUAAAGCCCCUUAAUGUAAAACCAUUUGGUUUUAAAUGUAAUGAAGCCCAUUAAUGUAAUAACAUUUUAUCCUAAAUGCAAUAAAGCCCCUUAAUGUAAAAACAUUUGGUCCUAAAUGUAAUAAAGCCCCUUAAUGUAAAACAUAUGGUCCUAAAUAUAAAAAGGUCAUAAAUGUAAUAACUUUUGCUCCUAAAUGUGAUGAUCAUAAAUGAAAGGUCAUACAUUUAAUAACUUUUGCUCCUAAAUGUGAUGGUCAUAAAUGUAAUAAAGGUCAUAAAUGUACAACCAAAAAUGUUUAGCGCAUUUAAUAUAUUUAGAACCAACCAUUAUUUCAUUAAGUGUGUUUAUUACAUCUACGGUCAAAAAUGUAAUAACAUUUGGAGCUAAAUGUAAUGAAGAUCUUAAAUGUGAUUAAAUUUGGUUCAGAUUGUAAUAAAGGUCCUAAUUGUAAUAACUUUUGUUCCUAAAUGUGAUGAAUUUCAUAAAUGUAAUGAAAUUUAGGACCUAUAAUACAUUUUGGUUCUAAAUGUAAUAAAUGCCCUAAAUGCCCUAAAUGUUAUACCAUGUAGUUCUAAAUGUAAUGAAGUUCAUAUAUGUAAUAACAUUACAUUAAUCCUAAAUUAUAUUUAGGACCAAAAGUAUUUGCAUUUAGGACCAAAUUGUAUUACAUUUAGAGCCUUUAUUACAUUUAGGACCAUUUAAUCUGGCGUAAAAGCUGUGUCAAGUAAAAUAUGCAGAUCACGGUGGGUCCGCUGUGGUGACCUGUAAUGGGAGCUGCCAAAAGAAGAUUACAUUUAGGACCAUUUAUCAAAUUUUCCUCCUCAACAAAGAUCUGCAGAUUUCUGCAGAAGCGGACUGCCUGUCAUUCAUAAAAUCUGACACAUCCCCUGCAGAUUGUUAAUGUGAUUAUGCUUUCAGCUACCAUUAAGAGUGUACAGUAGUACUCUUACUUUGCACAGUAAGUAGUAGGCUAGUAUUCCAUUAUAAGCAUAUAUAAGCAUUGUCUGUGAUUCAUUGUAAGAGGUUGAUGGUAAAAUCUUUGGAAUAAAUAGUCUUUCAAGAUACUUUGAAUUUAUUUAAAUUGUGAAAGUGUCAUAACUCAUUACGUGCUG